AUUGAACGCUGGCGGCAGGCCUAACACAUGCAAGUCGAGCGGAGCUGCGGACGGGUGAGUAAUGCCUAGGAAUCUGCCUGGGAGUGGCGGAUAACUUCCGGAAACGGGCGCUAAUACAGCAUACUAUCAGCUGAGUCUCGGUGGGAUUAGCUAGUUGGUGGGGUAAAGGCUUACCAAGGCGACGAUCCGUAACUGGUCUGAGAGGAGGAUCAGUCACACGGGAACUGAGACACGGUCCAGACUCCUACGGGAGGCAGCAGUGGGGAAUAUUGCACAAUGGGCGCAAGCCUGAUGCAGCCAUGCCGCGUGUAUGAAGAAGGCCUUCGGGUUGUAAAGUACUUUCAGCGGGGAGGCGUUACCCGCAGAAGAAGCACCGGCUAACUCCGUGCCAGCAGCCGCGGUAAUUC
rnacentral:rRNA from 1 species